CUGACCGAUGUGUGAGCCCACGUCUGAGAUGUCAAAGCCUCUCGCGAUGCCUGCCAGGAAGUCCAGGACCAGCUGGAAGUUUCCAUCUCCGACGCUGGAUGAGCCGUCGAUGAGGAACCCGAUGUUCACCGAGUUGUAACAGGUGCACCAUUGAGCGUGUCCUGACUGGCUGCACCGCCCAUCACCAGGACGGAGCUGCCAUCCACGGAGGACCGCUACACCCAGCGGAGCAGGAAGAAGGCCAACGGGAUCAUUACCCCAGCAUCAGUGACAGGAUGUGCUGUGCUGUGGUGGUUAGACGGGUGCAGAUGUGUCUUACUGCAGAGCAGGCCGUCCAGCGAGCAGAGUCUCUGACUGAGAGGUUUGACGUGUUUGUUGGUGCUGAACCAGCUGGGGAUCAAAUAACUGAAGAAAC